UUGAAUCUAUCUAAAUGGGGAAAAGGUAGGAGAAUGACACGGAGUAAAAUGUUUACUCAGGAAGUUGCUACAGACAUGACGUGCUAAAAUGACUCCUUCUGCAACAUAAUACUUCUGUGAUUCUGAGACUACCAGAGAGUACGAUCUCCAGGAUGAACCAAGAGAGGCUUACAGGUCGAGUCCAUCAGGGAUUCCCUGAGCUGUUUUGAAUAGAUACCGUAAGAAUUUGGUGCUGUGAGCAGGGUUCCAACAAGGGAUACGUGUGAGUGAAAUUGAAAAGAAGAGCUUUGCCUGAAGUUCAACUUGACACCAAUGGACCCACAAGCAGUCCCAUAUUCGGAGAAGUUGGACAUGCCAUUGGAUGGAGUUCUCCCACUUCUGAAGAGCCAACUGGAUCUUUCAAUUUCAAAUUUGACUGAAACAUU